rnacentral:rRNA from 1 species
AUAUUGCGCAAUGGGCGAAAGCCUGACGCAGCGACGCCGCGUGAGGGAUGAAGGUCUUCGGAUCGUAAACCUCUGUCAGGAGGGAAGAAGUGGUUAUAUGCGAAUAGUGUAUGACUUUGACGGUACCUCCAAAGGAAGCACCGGCUAACUCCGUGCCAGCAGCCGCGGUAAUACGGAGGGUGCGAGCGUUAAUCGGAAUCACUGGGCGUAAAGCGCGCGUAGGCGGCUUUUCAAGUCAGGGGUGAAAUCCCACGGCCCAACCGUGGAACUGCCUUUGAAACUGUAGAGCUUGAGUGUCGGAGAGGGUGGCGGAAUUCCAGGUGUAGGAGUGAAAUCCGUAGAUAUCUGGAGGAACACCGGUGGCGAAGGCGGCCACCUGGACGACAACUGACGCUGAGGUGCGAAAGCGUGGGUAGCAAACAGG